GCGAGCAGCGUUAUGCGUUUUUGUUCUGUCGCGGUGUGGAGUCAACUCACAUCUCCAGUGUGGAGUCAACUCACAGCUCCAAUUGAACCCUUUGCCUUUGCUUUUGACUUUUAAAAAA
rnacentral:misc_RNA from 1 species